rnacentral:rRNA from 1 species
AUUGAACGCUGGCGGCAUGCUUUACACAUGCAAGUCGAACGGUAACAGGCCUUCGGGUGCUGACGAGUGGCGAACGGGUGAGUAAUGCAUCGGAACGUGCCCAGAGGUGGGGGAUAACGCAGCGAAAGCUGUGCUAAUACCGCAUGUGAUCUGAGGAUGAAAGCGGGGGACCAGGCAGCAAUGUUUGGCCUCGCGCCUUUGGAGCGGCCGAUGUCAGAUUAGGUAGUUAGUGGGGUAAAGGCCUACCAAGCCGACGAUCUGUAGCUGGUCUGAGAGGACGACCAGCCACACUGGGACUGAGACACGGCCCAGACUCCUACGGGAGGCAGCAGUGGGGAAUUUUGGACAAUGGGCGCAAGCCUGAUCCAGCAAUGCCGCGUGCGGGAAGAAGGCCUUCGGGUUGUAAACCGCUUUUGUACGGAACGAAAAGGCUCUGGCUAAUACCUGGGGCUGAUGACGGUACCGUAAGAAUAAGCACCGGCUAACUACGUG